rnacentral:rRNA from 1 species
GAGUUUGAUCCUGGCUCAGAAUCAACGCUGGCGGCGUGCCUAACACAUGCAAGUCGAACGCGGUUACCUCGCAAGGGGUAACUGAGUGGCGAACGGGUGAGUAACACGUGGGUGACCUACCUUCGAGUGGGGGAUAACGUCCCGAAAGGGACGCUAAUACCGCAUAACAUCCUGCCUUUGAACAGGUGGAGAUCAAAGCCGGGGAUCGCAAGACCUGGCGCUUGAUGAGGGGCCCGCGCCUGAUUAGCUAGUUGGUGGGGUAAUGGCUCACCAAGGCGACGAUCAGUAUCCGGCCUGAGAGGGCGGACGGACACACUGGGACUGAGAUACGGCCCAGACUCCUACGGGAGGCAGCAGUGGGGAAUUGUUCGCAAUGGGCGCAAGCCUGACGACGCAACGCCGCGUGGAGGAUGAAGGUCUUCGGAUUGUAAACUCCUGUUGCUCGGGACGAAAAGCUUCGACCUAAUACGUCGAAGUCUGACGGUACCGAGUGAGGAA